CAGGUCCCCCAGCGCCACGCUCCCGCUCCGCCGCCUCCUCGCCACCGCCUCCUCCACCGCCGCUGCCAUCGCUCCUCAGAUCCCGGCCGCCGCAGAUCGCGCCGUGGCCCCGCGCAUCGCUGGUAGCCAGCCAGCCCACCGGCAGCACCCAGCACGCGCCCCUCGCUGGUUUGGUCGGGAAGCGCAACGCCAGACAGAGCACGCACCCCCCGUGCCAGCGACCAAAGUCCCCAACGACGCACGCACACGCACGCUCCUUUUUCCGCUCGCUGCCUUU
rnacentral:lncRNA from 1 species